GAGUGGAUUGCCAUUUCCUACUCCAGGGGACCUUCCUGACCCAGGAAUUGAACCUGCAUUUCUUGUGUCUGCUGCAUUGAUAGCCAGAUUCUUUACCACAGUGCCCCUGGGAAGCCCAUACAUGUAUCCAUCUUCCUCCAAACUCUCCUUCCAUCCAGGCCGCCACAUCACAUUGAGCAGAGUUCCAUAAUAUAUACAUUUUG